rnacentral:lncRNA from 1 species
GCAUGCUGUUUUUUUUUGUGUUGACGUCCGAAAUACUGCACUGUAGACUUACAGUUAGGGUUUUUUGCUUGUGAGAGAAACAUGUUUAACCCCGCCACAUUAUUUAUGUAUGUGCCUGUCCCAAGUCAGGAGCCUGUAAUUCAGUGGUUGUCGUUUGUUUAUGUGUUACAUAUUUUUCGUUCAUUUUUUUACAUAAAUAAGGCCGUUAGUUUUCUCGUUUGAAUUGUUUUACAUUGUCUUAUCGGGGCCUAUUAUAGCUGACUGUGCGGUGUGGGCUUUGCUCAUUGUUGAAGGCCGUACGGUGACCUAUAGUUGUUGAUGUCUGUGUCAUUUUGGUCUUUUGUAGAUAGUUGUCUCAUUGGCAAUCAUACCACAUCUUCUUUUUUAUAUUAGCUUAUUGUUCCUGCUUUCCGUAAAAAAAGAAUGGCUUUUCCAUGAUAUUAUAUGUUAC